AGUGAACGCUGGCGGUAGGCCUAACACAUGCAAGUCGAACGGCAGCACAGUAAGAGCUUGCUCUUACGGGUGGCGAGUGGCGGACGGGUGAGGAAUACAUCGGAAUCUACUUUUUCGUGGGGGAUAACGUAGGGAAACUUACGCUAAUACUGCAUACGACCUACGGGUGAAAGCAAGGGAUCUUCGGACCUUGCGCGAUUGAAUGAGCCGAUGUCGGAUUAGCUAGUUGGCGGGGUAAAGGCCCACCAAGGCGACGAUCCGUAGCUGGUCUGAGAGGAUGAUCAGCCACACUGGAACUGAGACGCGGUCCAGACUCCUACGGGAGGCAGCAGUGGGGAAUAUUGGACAAUGGGCGCAAGCCUGAUCCAGCCAUACCGCGUGGGUGAAGAAGGCCUUCGGGUUGUAAAGCCCUUUUGUUGGGAAAGAAAAGCAGCAGGUUAAUACCCCGCUGUUCUGACGGUACCCAAAGAAUAAGCAUCGGCUAACUUCGUG
rnacentral:rRNA from 1 species